GUGUCCGCCAUAUUGGAUGCCGCAGCCGCUGCUGCCAGCGCUUCCUCCUCCGUCUUCGCCGUGCGCUGCUGGUUCCUACGGCCCGAGCGGCGGGGAGGUGAAACAGGAGACUGUCGGAGGAAGAGGAAGAAGGGGGUGGAGAGUGUAGGGGACCGGGCUAGGGGGUGGAAGCCCGAGACCGAGCGGGGCGGAGAAGAGAAGGCGCCGCGGCCCGGCCCCUCCCCCGCCGCUGCCGACCCGCCCCGGCAGUGCCUCUGUUCCCCGGACCGGCGCUCCGCCCGCCCUAGCGACCAUGCCGGGGCCUCGCCGCCCCUAAGGGAGCCCUUCCCCGCCAGUGCUUGCCCGUCCCCUUCUGCCCGGGGUCGCAGCGGCCCGGCCUCCCGCCGGCCCCCACCCCCCCACCCCCCGUCUCACUCUCCCCACCCAGUGCAGUGGCCGCCGCCUCUUCCGCCGCCGGGCUCCGGGCCUCCGCACCGACAACAUGGAGGCUGUGAAAACCUUCAAUAGCGAGUUGUAUUCCCUGAAUGACUACAAACCACCCAUUUCUAAAGCAAAAAUGACCCAAAUUACUAAGGCAGCCAUCAAAGCUAUUAAGUUCUAUAAACAUGUGGUACAGAGUGUUGAGAAAUUCAUUCAGAAAUGCAAACCAGAAUACAAGGUACCUGGACUUUAUGUUAUUGACUCUAUUGUACGACAAUCUCGACAUCAGUUUGGUCAAGAAAAGGAUGUGUUCGCACCCAGAUUUAGUAAUAACAUCAUUAGCACUUUCCAGAAUUUAUAUCGUUGCCCUGGAGAUGACAAGAGUAAGAUAGUGAGAGUAUUGAAUUUAUGGCAGAAGAAUAAUGUAUUUAAGAGUGAGAUUAUUCAGCCUCUUUUGGAUAUGGCUGCGGGGAUCCCUCCUCCUGUUGUCACACCUGUGUUGGCCAGCACUACUGCUGCUAUGAGCAACACCCCAGGAACUCCUGUGACACCUGUUACUCCAGCCAAUGUGGUCCAAGGUUUACCUGAUCCAUGGGUGUCUCAGAUAACAAAUACAGAUACACUUGCAGCUGUAGCUCAGAUCUUACAAAGUCCUCAAGGCCAGCAGCUUCAGCAGUUAAUACAAACUUUACAGAUACAGCAGCAGAAGCCUCAGCCUUCCAUCCUGCAAGCCCUGGAUGCUGGUCUUGUCGUUCAGCUGCAGGCUCUUACAGCACAACUUACAGCAGCAGCUGCAGCAGCCAACACCCUUAAUCCCUUAGAACAGGGAGUGUCUUUUAACAAGAAGUUGAUGGAUAGGUUUGAUUUUGGGGAAGAUUCUGAGCAUAGUGAAGAACCCAAAAAGGAAAUUCCAGCUUCUCAACUUUCUCAUGUUUCAGAAUCUGUGAACAAUUCCAUCUUUCAUCAGAUAGCAGAACAACUACAGCAGCAAAAUCUUGAACAUCUGAGACAGCAACUCCUGGAACAGCAACAGCCUCAAAAGGCAACUCCUCAGGAUAGUCAAGAAGGAACAUUUGGGUCAGAGCAUUCCGCAUCACCAUCACAAGGCAGCAGUCAGCAGCAUUUCCUUGAACCUGAAGCAAAUUUGGAUGAUUCCAUAGAUAUUCAGCAGCAGGAUAUGGAUAUAGAUGAAGGGCAAGAUGGAGUGGAAGAGGAGAUCUUUGAACAGGAAGCAAAGAAAGUGGCUGUUCGCUCAAGAUCAAGAACACAUUCACGAUCUCGUUCAAGAUCACCAAGAAAACGAAGGUCCAGGUCACGAUCUGGUUCUCGAAAGCGUAAACACAGAAAGCGAUCACGCUCCCGCUCUAGAGAAAGAAAAAGGAAAUCAUCGCGUUCAUACUCAAGUGAAAGAAGAGCUAGAGAAAGGGAGAAAGAACGACAGAAGAAGGGAUUACCUCCAAUUAGAUCUAAAACAUUAAGUGUAUGUAGUACUACUCUGUGGGUUGGUCAGGUAGACAAGAAGGCAACACAGCAAGAUUUAACCAACCUCUUUGAAGAGUUUGGACAGAUUGAAUCCAUUAAUAUGAUUCCUCCCAGGGGCUGUGCUUAUGUCUGCAUGGUUCAUCGACAAGACGCAUUUCGGGCUCUUCAGAAACUUAGUUCCGGGUCAUAUAAAAUUGGGUCCAAGGUCAUUAAGAUUGCUUGGGCUUUAAACAAAGGUGUAAAAACAGAAUACAAACAGUUCUGGGAUGUGGAUCUUGGAGUUACAUAUAUACCAUGGGAAAAAGUUAAAGUGGAUGACUUGGAAGGUUUUGCAGAAGGAGGCAUGAUUGAUCAGGAAACAGUAAAUACUGAGUGGGAAACUGUGAAAAGCUCAGAACCCGUUAAAGAGACGGUCCAGACAACUCAGAGCCCACCUCCGGUUGAAAAGGAGACAGUGGUCACAACCCAGGCAGAGGUUUUCCCUCCACCUGUUGCUAUGUUACAGAUUCCUGUAGCUCCAGCAGUGCCUACAGUUAGUUUAGUCCCACCAGCAUUUCCUGUGUCAAUGCCAGUUCCUCCUCCUGGAUUCAGUCCAAUUCCUCCACCUCCUUUUCUCCGAGCAAGUUUUAACCCUUCACAACCACCUCCUGGUUUCAUGCCACCUCCAGUUCCACCACCUGUUGUACCCCCACCUACUAUUCCACCAGUAGUACCAACAUCUUUAGUGCAGCCGCCAUUAUCUAUGACUCCAGAAACUGUGAAAGAUGUUGGAUUUGGUAGCCUUGUUUUACCAGGUGGUUCUGUUGCCAGCAGUCUUGCUACUUCCGCUCUGCCAGCUGGAAAUGUUUUUAAUCCUCCAACUAAACAAGCAGAGCCUGAAGAAAAAGUACCUCAUCUUAUAGACCACCAGAUUUCUUCUGGUGAAAACACCAGAUCAGUGAUUCCAAAUGAUAUCUCAAGUGGCUCUGCAAUUUUAGGACAGCCUCCAAGUGUGACGAACAGUUCUGGGAUUCUGGGAGUCCAAAGACCAAAUGUAUCAAGUAAUAAUGAAAUUCUUGGAGUCCGGCCAUCUAAUAUUUCCAAUAGUGCUGGGAUGAUUGGAGGCCAGCCACCAAAUAUUCUAAAUAACUCUGGAAUUUUGGGAAUACAGCCACCGAGUGUGUCGAGUAGUUCUGGACUUCUGGGCGUGCUACCCCCAAACAUACCUAACAAUUCCGGACUUAUAGGAGUACAACCACCCAGUGUUCCAAAUACUUCUGGACUUUUGGGAACACAGCCACCAGCUGGGCCUCAAAAUUUACCGCCUUUAAAUCUUCCUAAUCAAAGGAUGCCUGCAAUGCCAAUGUUAGACAUUCGUCCAGGACUAAUACCACAGACGCCUGGACCAAGAUUCCCUUUAAUGCAGCCUGGAAUUCCACCCCAACGGGGACUCCCUCCCCCAGCAGUGCUUGAUUCAGCUCUUCAUCCACCACCCCGUGGUCCUUUUCCUCCAGGAGAUAUUUUUAGUCCACCUGAAAGACCUUUUCUAGUUCCUGGAAGACAAAGUGUAGACAAUGUUGCUAAUCCAGAAAAAAGGAUACCACUUGGGAGUGAUAACAUGCAACAGGAAGGAGAUAGAGAUUACCGGUUUCCUCCCAUAGAAACCAGGGAAGCUAUUAGUAGACCUCCCCCGGUGGACGUUAGGGAUGUGGUUGGACGGCCUGUAGAUCCAAGAGAAGGUCCUGGAAGGCCUCCGUUAGAUGGUAGAGAUCACUUUGGAAGACCUCCUGUAGAUAUUAGAGAGAAUCUUGUGAGGCCAGGCAUAGAUCAUCUUGGUCGGAGAGACCACUUUGGCUUUAAUCCAGAAAAGCCCUGGGGGCAUAGAGAUUUUGAUGAGAGAGAGCAUCGAGUUCUGCCUGUCUAUGGUGGUCCCAAAGGCUUACAUGAAGAAAGAGGUAGAUUUCGAUCUGGAAACUAUCGGUUUGAUCCUAGAAGUGGUCCUUGGAACAGAGGAUUUGGACAAGAAGUUCACAGAGAUUUUGAUGACCGCAGAAGACCCUGGGAGAGGCAAAGGGAUAGAGAUGACAGAGAUUUUGAUUUCUGCAGAGAAAUUAAUGGAAAUCGUCUCGGACGAGAUAGAAUUCAAAACACCUGGGUCCCCCCUCCUCAUGCUCGGGUUUUUGAUUUUUUUGAAGGGGCCACUUCGCAACGAAAAGGUGAUAAUGUGCCUCAGGUUAAUGGUGAAAAUACCGAGAGACAUGCUCAGCCACCACCCUUACCAGCACAGAGUGAUCCUGAACUUUAUGAAAAACUGACAUCUUCAAGUGAAAUAAACAAGGAGAAGAGUGACACAGUUGCUGAUAUAGAGAGUGAACCAGUGGUAGAAAGCACAGAAACUGAGGGGACAUAAUCAUCACUCAGUAGGACAGAAUGACUAGGAAGACGAUGGAGCUUCGAAGUCUAGCAGAAUAUGAAGUCAUUCUUCUUCAUCGAUCUGGUUUAAAUGCAAGGCAAAGCCAGAAUACUGAGAUGGUGUCUCCUGCGUGUCUGAUUGCUGGUGGCCGGGAUGCCCAAAUGAACUCCAGCCUCUUCCCGCUGUGUAUUCCCACCCUUUACAUCAGAUCUUCAGACAUUCAACUAUCAAAUAAGAAAACGAUGAUGCUCUGGGUUGCCCAGGAGAGGCCACACAAACUGCAAGCUUGACCUUCAAGGCCCUCCAGGCACCAACAUGACUGCUGCUUCAAGUCCUUGUGCCUCCUGAUGCCUCCUGCGGGACCCCCUUCCUCCUCUCAGAGCCAAGAUCUUUCCUCUCCAAGGAGAAAUUCUGAAGUGUCUGCUCUCAGCCCAGCUCUAUCACAUCGUUAUGGAAGAACAUUCAAUCUGACUUUCAUCAUGUUGUAACGUGGAGAUGAAAUGUCCCUAUUCACCUUAACUGCUGGUGGAAUCUCCUGCAGCCAGAAAUGGUCAUUACACUUUGCUUGUUCUCUUCCGCCUGGCACUUACCACCGUCUGCCUGAGGAAGAAGCCGAGCAGGCUGAGACUGUGAGGAAGUUACCAGUCGCCAGCUCCCAGAUGACAGAGGAGAGGAGGAGAAAAAGCAGAUUUUCAGAACGCAGUUAUGUUAGACAUGGUAACAGAGGAAUCUAACAUGACAAAAGAAAAAAAGAGGAGAUUCCUGCCCCCGAGAGCAAAGCAUUCAGUUGCCACGUCGCUGAAUGGGGCUUUGCAAAAUGUGUGAGCACAGUAAGAGUUGAACCCAGCUCCGCCGAGGAAACAGAUAACCCACUUGCGGAGCGAGACCCCGAAGUGCCUUGAUGUUCCAAGCCCCCAGCCAGUUACAGGGACACCCCUGACCGGCCCUCCCCCAUCAAGGUGCGCUGUCCUGUUGGGGAGGGAGCAGUGGUGAGGGAACAAGAGUGCUAAUGUUCCGGAAGCAUAGAGUUGGUUCCACCCAGACGGCUCCUUGAAGAUGCUCAGGUAGAUGCUAUUUUUGCUGGGUCCUGAAGCGUAAGAGCGGCACCAGGAGUUUGCUGCAGCUGUUUGGGCAGAGCUGAUGGGCAUGGUGGUGGAGAGGAAGAAAGGUUUGGGAACAUUCUAGGAGGUAACAAGGCGAAGACUGGAGACCAAACGGUUGUGGGAGUGAAAGUCAGGAGAGGUCAAAGACGGCUCCAGCAGCUUGGGAAAUAGGGAUGCUACUGACUGAGGGAGGAGGUGGGAUGGAGGGGAAGGAAGUCUGGGGAGGCAUCACAGUGGCGAGGUAGGUGUGGAUGAAGGCCACCCCUCCAGGGCCGUGGGAGUCAGGGUAGCGCGGAAUCACUCUUUCUGGAUUCUUUUUUUUUUUUGGUGGGGGGGGAUCUUCCCCCACUAGUAUGUAUUUUUUAAUUGAUGGAAUUGUGUUAGAUUGAAAACGAAACAGGGACAAAAUAUAACCUUCUGUGGGGGUAACAGGCAGAGAAGAGGCUGAGGGGUGGUGGGACCAUGAAGCUGUGCACCACUUGGGUGACUCUCAUUAGACGUAUUGCUUGCUCGUUGGCUUAUUUUCACAGGAGAUGGUAGGGGAUGAGCUAACGGCAGGUCUCCACCACUGCCCAUCAGUCACCCUUCUGUUCAGCUUGCCCUUGGCAUGAUGCUGGCGAGACACAGAAGCACCUCUAGCACUUCCUCAGGACAGCUUGUUUCUCAUGAUCUCAUCACAGUGAAGAAGAAGAUGGAUUUCUCAACCACUUCCUCUUGCAGUAGGAGUUUGAAAAGUGCGGUGAAGAAGCUCGUGCAAGCUCCCAAAACAGCCAGCUGGAACAACAGUUUGUAUUCGACCAGUGAUCUUCAGAAAGGAGAGAUGCAGCCUCCCUUGAAGAGGCUGUCCUCUGACUUCUCCAGAGUUAGCCUGACCCACUGGCAGAGCUAGCUGCCUGCCUGUGCUGGGCAGACGCUGGGGUGGAGUCAGUGUGGUCUUUGUUUACUGGAUCCUGGGGUGCUGGGAGGGAGGCUGCAUGGAGCCUGUUAGCUCGGGGCAUGAAGUAAUAGAAAAGCACUUGGUGGUAACUAUCACUGGAAUCCUCCUUCUUGCCCACAAACAAGCUUUAAAAGUGAAUUUGAGCUCCGUGAAGAUUGGUAUUAAACACAGUCAUUCUUGACCGGUAUUGCCAUUGGGUGCGUGUGCGUGUGUGUCUAAU